rnacentral:lncRNA from 13 species
AUGGCGCUGUUGUCUUUCCCAUAUGAUUGCACACAACAAAGAACCAGAACUACAAGAUCACUGGACAGUAGACCGCGGGGCGGAAAUGAAGCAAAAGCAGCUGUGAAAUGUGUAAUUUGGAGACUACAGGCUACUAAAUGCAGUAAUUUUCUUGUCAAGUUGAGUGGAUCACUGACCAGAGUCCCGUCUGGACUGAAGGGGUCCCAGGACAUCCUCUACUUACUCAGGUAGUCUUCAACUCACCCCCACUUAUCUCCCAUUCCCAUUCUCUAUCUAUUGACAGGUAAGUGCCGUCAUUCCCUCACAGCCCAAACAAUAGCUCUCUAGGCAGGGAUCCUGUAGUCAGGCUAAAGAGAACCCAACCAGGCAUCACAGACAGACAGGGGCUUGACAUUGGCAGGACAAACGGCUGCAAACAGACAGAGCUCUCUGUCCCCGCUCCCCAGCAAAGUUCAGUGAAUUUACCCCUUUGCGCUGAUCAUGGGUCAGUUUUGCAUUUCCCCCACUAAUGGUUAAUAUCACGAUUUGGAGGGGAAAUCUGAUCCCAGAUCUGUACCUAGGGGGAACUUCCCCCCGGGGGGCCCUCAGACGACUAGCCCUAUACACACCUUUGUUGUCGCUGAUUCACACCUC